rnacentral:tRNA from 2 species
CGAGGCGUAGCUCAAUUGGAUAGAGCAUCCCCCUCCUAAGGGGAAGGUUGUGGGAUCGUACCCCACCGCCUCGGCCA